rnacentral:rRNA from 1 species
GCAGUGAUGCAAGUGGUAGGGGAGCGUUGCAUGCACGUAGAAGCCGUACCGUAAGGAGCGGUGGAGAGCAUGGAAGAGAGAAUGCCGGUGUGAGUAGCGAGAUGUAGGUGAGAAUCCUACACACCGAUAGCCCAAGGAUUCCAGGGGAAGGUUCGUCCGCCCUGGGUAAGUCGGGACCUAACGCGAGGCCGAAAGGCGUAGUGGAUGGAAAACAGGCAGAUAUUCCUGUACCCGCGAUGGAAAUGAAGGAAUGACGGAGAAGGCUAGUGUGAGCCACUGAACGGAUUGUGGUCAAAGCAUAUAGCAGGCUGACAGUGAAAUGCGUCAGCGGGAUGUAAGAUGUGACAGGUAAGGGAACGUCCUUGGACAAGUACUGAAGCACAUGAUGCCAGCUUCCAAGAAAAGUUUCUAGUGAUAAUUCCAUAGCGGCCCGUACCAAAACCGACACAGGUGGGCAAGGAGAGAAUCCUGAGGUGAGCGAGAGAACUGUUGCCAAGGAACUCGGCAAAAUGACUCCGUAAGUUAGCGAUAAGGAGUGCUCUUGUAAAAGAGAGCCGCAGUGAAGAGGCCCAAGCGACUGUUUAACUAAAACACAGCUCUCUGCAAAGUCGCAAGACGAAGUAUAGGGGGUGACGCCUGCCCGGUGCUGGAAGGUUAAGAGGAUUUGUCAUCCGCAAGGAGAAGCAAUGAAUUGAAGCCCCAGUGAACGGCGGCCGUAACUAUAACGGUCCUAAGGUAGCGAAAUUCCUUGUCAGGUAAGUUCUGACCCGCACGAAAGGCGUAACGAUUUGGGCGCUGUCUCGGCAGCAGACUCGGUGAAAUCUUAGUACCUGUGAAAAUGCAGGUUACCCGCAACUAGACGGAAAGACCCCAUGGAGCUUUACUGUAGCCUGA